rnacentral:lncRNA from 1 species
UAGUAUGAUGCAAAUUCAUCAGGAUAAAGAAGAUAAGAUCUUCUUAAGAAUCAAGAUGACCGCCACACAUGAUAAAAUUGAGACAAAACAACCGUGUCAAUAUGUCAUGCAUGACACAAUUUAAAAUGUAAAAUUAAAAAAAGGUGCAUAAUAAGCCUAGUAAGAAUAGAUUCUAAUCUCUUUAUGCAUUAAUAACAGUAAAUCCGUAACACACCUUCUACUAUAAAUUUUAAUGUUUUGGAAACAACAUAGGGAUACAAGGACUCAGUUUGAAACCUAACACAGAAAGCUUGAGGAAACUCACUGGUUCAACAGUCCAACAAAGAUCCACAAAGCCUAAUGAGAAGUGAAGGAAGAAACCCUCAAAGCUCUUUGUCGAACCCCACCAGAAAUAAAACCAACACCGCAAUGCAAGUAUAUGGAACAUUGUGUGUCAAGUCAUAUACACAACGGUUCACAGCUUAAAAUACCCCAAUUUAGAGCUGCCGUCAAGCCCAAUGGAGUAUACGUUGGAGAUAUAGUCUUUUAUGGUCGUGGCCCUAUACUUUGCCGGACUCUCCUCCGACACCAAUUCUUUAAUCGGCUCAAUCAUCCGCUCACUGCCUUCAUGUAGAUGAUGCGGUCUGAAGAAGAAUGGAACCGAAACUCUCGGCCCAACACUCUUCGACAUCAAUCGUACUCUAUGGUACACGCUUUUGAACUUGUCGUUCGUAAUAAGCUAAAACAAAAAAACAAAACCCUGAAUCAGAAAUGGCUUCAAGAUACGAUUAAUAUCACAAAAGAUGGAAUCUUUAAUUUAAAACAACUCGCCUGGGACAUGUCUCCUAAGUUGACUACUAAGGAUCCAGGGAUGGGUUGAAUAUCGACCCAUUGGCCUUGGUGGAGAACCUGAAGUCCGCCCGUUUGGUCUUGGAGAAGCACUGUCAGAAACCCACUAUCCGUGUGCUUGCUCAAUCCAAGUGUCGAUUCUGGCUCUGGGCAUUCUGGGUAGUAAUGACCUAUCAUAUACAGUCCAUCGCUGCAUCCCAUGUGUCUGAGGUGGUUUGGUUCUAAUCCGAGAGCUUCCGACAUCAACUCGAAAAUGGUUAGCCCCAAUUUCAUCACUUCCUUUGAGUAGUUGAUUACUACAUCCCUGCAACAUCAAUUGCAGAACAAUUUUAUCAAGGUUUCAAUGUUUAGGUUUACAUAACUCUGAUUGAGUAGUUGAGCAUACCUGCAAAUGGGAGGAAGCUCGUCAGGGUGUGCAGGGACAGGAGCCAUAAGGCAGUACAGAGAGUCCCUCCAAUUAGCUGAUGAAGUUUG